rnacentral:rRNA from 1 species
CGAAAGCCUGACGGAGCAACGCCGCGUGAGGGAUGAAGGCCUCUGGGCUGUAAACCUCUUUUAUCAAGGAAGAAGAUCUGACGGUACUUGAGGAAUAAGCCACGGCUAAUUCCGUGCCAGCAGCCGCGGUAAUACGGGAGUGGCAAGCGUUAUCCGGAAUUAUUGGGCGUAAAGCGUCCGCAGGCGGCCUUGAAAGUCUGUCGUUAAAGCGUGGAGCUUAACUCCAUUUCGGCGGUGGAAACUACAAGGCUUGAGUGUGGUAGGGGCAGAGGGAAUUCCCGGUGUAGCGGUGAAAUGCGUAGAUAUCGGGAAGAACACCAGUGGCGAAGGCGCUCUGCUGGGCCAUAACUGACACUCAGAGGCGAAAGCUAGGGUAGCAAAAG